UAAUUGGGGGCUGGAAUGAAUGAGGGGACGAAAUCUAAACUAUUGGGCUACAAUAUGAAAUUGACAUAAAAGUUAAAAGGCUUUUAUAAUUCAAAGGGACGAUAAGACCCUGUAAAACUUUACUAUAGUUAAGUUAUCUAAGGUUAUUAGCUACAUUAUAGUUAAACUGGGGCGGUUGAGAUAUAAACAAUUAUAACAGAAAUAUGUUAAAUAAAAUUUUAGAACUCCUACUGGAAAUAAACAAGUUACUUUAGGGAUAACAGCAUAAUUCUCUCAGAGAGCCCUAAUUGGCGGGGGAGCUUAUGACCUCGAUGUUGAAUUGGAGUAUCUGGUAUAAGCAAAAAUAUAUUAAGAGAGUCUGUUCGACUUUUAAACCUCC
rnacentral:rRNA from 1 species